AGAGGGUACUUCCAUUUAAUUAUUGGCUAUUUGUAUACAGUGCAUGUGCUGCAAGAUAGGAUAUGGUUUUUGAGGUUGCCAAUCAUUAAAUACUAUAGAGUAUCAUUUUUGCCCCUGUUAGAAUUGUAAUAGUAAUGGUCAUAACUAGUGAUAAUGAUAAUGGUAAUGGUAAUGAUAGUGGUCGUGGUUGUGGUCAUGGUUGUGGUCGUGGUCGUGGUCGUGGUCGUGGUAACAAUAAUUCAAUACCAUGUAAGAAUUUAGUGUACUCAGGGUUGGACAUAAGCACUUGCCCGCUCGCCCAGGUGAGUGUCUUUAGUGUCAGGCGAACACAAAUCAUUGAUCACUCACCCGUUUGGUGAGUACGAUUUUCGUCGCCAAGAAACUAAUUAAAAUUAAUUGCAAAAUGAACACUGUUCUUUACAUUCCAUUUUGCCGAGAAAAUCUCUAAACAUAAACUUACCAUUUCUAUUUUAUAAAGUUUUAUAUUCUGAACUGUCUAAUAAAUUGGUGCUGAAAGGCUUCCUCCUAGUGAUAAUUACUUAACGUAUGCACUUAAACAAAGUGAUACUGCUGGUCACUAUCAAGCCAUCAGUGAUCAGGUAAACAUAGGGCCCAAGGAGAACAGACACGUUUACUCACAAACAGCAAGGGAUCUCACGAAGAUUCAUCAAUAAAAAACUAUUUGAAAUAUAAAGAACCUCCAAUGUGUUUUCUUGGGGUUUAAAACUAGUCAAAUUUUUCAUUGAAGAAAUAAUCCUCGGUCUGCCACGUGCUUGAUGACGUUGUGAGCAAAUUGUUUUCCCGUACUUUCCCAACACUCUGAUCAGCACGUGUUCUCCCGGUAAGUUUAAAAAUGGAGUAAACUGAUCGUAGCCAAAAUGUGGAAAUACAUUUCUGGAGUCUCUAAAGUUGUUGAAGAGAAAAAGAAUGAAAAAGCCCCAAAAGCUGUCCGCGAUACGCGGGAAUACGAGGGGGGGGGGAUGAACUUUUGGGUGAGUGAAAACUGAUUCGGGUGAGUGCAUUUUGUGAGUGCCAUCAAAAUUAUCAAGUGUCCAACCCUGUGUACUACUGAUGUUUUAUUAGACUUAGGCUUGAGUUCCAGACGCUGUUCAACAAAGGAGCCUGAUCCUCUCCAUCCCCAAGAGUAUGGCAAAAUUCACUCAAAGUUAGCAAGGUUGGCGUGUAGUCUGUGAUAACAGUUUUGGUUGGUGUAACUAACAGUUUGUCCCUUCUGGUCUUUCUAAGGAAAACAAGUUUACGAAGUGCAGUGUAUACACUCUGCUGAAGUCCAUAUAGAGACUGUUAAAAACAAGAGACACUGAGGAAUAGAACAGAACACAUGCUAUAACUUUUGUGUUCAUUUUUUUUCUUGUCUAUUGACUUAAAUCACAUUUUAAUAAUUAAUUGAUUGGUCUAGUAAUCAUUCAAGUAAUUUACUAAAUAAAUAUUUUUGGCAGCGCUGAGCAGGAUCAUCACUAAAGGAGUCAGCUCAAGGCAGAACAAGAACUGCAGAAAUUUCUUGCUGUCAUAAUUGACAGAAUGGAAGAGGACUGGACCAUCGCACUUCUUAAUAAAAACGCAUAUAACAGAAAUGAUUUCUCAUGGUGAUGGUAGAGUGAUGUGCUUCGUUGACCUUCUUCAAUGGAAGCAUGAUUCUAACCUGACAAUGAAUGUCCUGCUUCAGUUUUACCAAGUUGAGUCAGAAUGGACGCCUACCAGAAUGUCUGCUACUACAGAUGGAUAAAUGUUAUUGUGAAAAUAAAAAUAAAUAUCUAACGGCAUAUUUGCAGCAUACAUGUACGUGGUAGAAAAACAGAUUUUCAAGGAGUUCACACAGAAUGCCAGAAGAACAACUGCAGAGGUGGAAAUCGUUUAUCAGAAGGGGAGAGGAUAUAAGGACAAGAUCAGAAGCUGGUCAACAGACAAGGAGACCAUUGAACUGCAAGAGGAAAAAUGGAUACUCCAGCAUCUUAAGAAAUACAGCACAAAAAAAGGUCAAACACAGACCUGCUGACCCUACAACAGAAAGACAGGAAAAAAGAGUAAGAAAGGCUCCUGGCUAAGAAGAACUCUUUUCCACUAACACAAACCAGAAAGCUGUGUGCUGAGACUUACACGAGAAAGAUUCAUUUUGAGGCAAUAGAUUCCUUAUCAGAUGUACAAAACGGAGACACAAGGAGACGAGCUAUGUGCCGAGACUCAAAAGGAGAAAGAAUUAAAUUGAGACAAUGGAUCCCAUAGUAGAUACGAAACAGAGAAGAAACAAUAAAAGCUUUGCCGAGACUCAAGAAGAAAAAGAAGAAAAUUGAGACAUUGGAUCCCUUAGUAGACUGCCAUCUCAAGUGUACACGCAGUGACAUUAACAUGGCGAAAGACGGACGCCAAGGAAAGCAAAGAACUUGGUUUAGCUGUUUCUUUAGUGGAUCUGGUUUUAAAAGUAAGGUAGAUUUACAAGACAAAGCUUAUCUCGAUUGAGUUUCUUGCGAAAGAUUGUUAGGGCGGAGCUCGUAUUAGUGAUUUCACAACAUAAAACUCAAGAGUCAAUAGAAGGCAAUAGGAUUACUAUCAAAUUGUCUAGUAUCUGCCAAAUUGUCUCGUAUCUUGCUAGUUUUCGAGGAAACCGUGAAUUGUAUUUCAAGUUUGUAGCUUUAAAAUUAAGGUAGAAUAUUAGCAUUACAUGGAUUUGUUUUUGCAACCCGAAUUUUCAGCCUGGAAGUCUCGCUAUUAAACUCGUUGAAAUUACUGUCGAAUUGUCUAGUAUCUAUUUCACAAGUUUUCCAAAAUCUUUGUAGUUUUCGAGGACGCAUUGAAUUUAUGAAAAGGAUGCGCUUUUAAAAGGGCCAAG